AUUCUUUGUGGUAACGCACGCUGCCACUGCCACCCAGGCACUCUGCUCGGAGAACAAAGAAGGGGUCUAAGGGUUGGCCGUACAGGGACUAGGGCGCGCGACGAGGCCGCCGCUCGUACCGCAAGCGGCCUGCCCUGGGGCGACAGUAGAGGGAGGAGUUCUACGAUGGCGACGAGAACGAGGAGUGGAAGAGGAGGCGACGCCGCGGGGGCCGCCGCCGCAGUGGGAGGCGGCACGUGUUGUUGUUGACCCGGCACGAGCAGACAUGGAGGGCGAAGACCAAAUUAAUAUCUGUAUACCGGUUGUGCGACAGAAACAUGUCCUGACAAUUCUCUAAUCCUUAUGGACUGCUCUCCUAUUAUGAAUACAACCGACUACUAUACCGAACAUUAGGAGCCUUGUUAAUAGGACGGGUUCACAAGUUGUUACUCUUGGUGGUCGAAUUAGAAAUACCACUGUUACAACUCCAACUAAUGGCUCCAAUACUCCAAUGUCAACUUUUGAAAAACGCUCAAAACUGACCUUCUGUACUCUCGCGACAUGGUUCUAGUUUCGCAGAGAAUUCACUACUUCCUUCGGUAUAAGAAAACAUGUACUGACCUGUACCACCCCUACUUAAAAACUUCAAGGUUCUAUUGCUUCUUGAAGUCUCGGUACUAAAUCGUCUACGUCAUUUCGUUUACUUCCUCUUCGUAUCUAAAUUUCUCAACAACUAUUACCAUCUAUGGACGGUCCGACGAUGAGAAAAAAGUGUCGAAGUUAGUGGACCACAAAACCGCUAACCAUCGUCGUACUUCCCCCUUUUGAGAAUGAGAGUGGUAGAGCUGAGUCUAUAACCACAAAGACAACACCUAUCUAAAUGGAAGGUAUGUGAACGAAAGAAACUCUUCGACUUGUACAUAUCGUUACGAAGUAACUUGUCAGAAAAGUUGAGUAUGCUGGGAAGAUACGACGACAGAUGACGUAUAAUAGCUUACCUAGAAAUGUUCGCACGUAAUUUGCUCCAGGGUCACUGUUUAAAGAAACCUAGUCAGUACUUCUGAUAGGUGUGACUAAGUCGGAUGUGUCCGAAAGAUCGACGUGUACUACGCCUUGAGGGGGAAAGACAUCCUUUAUUAUAUGAACUAGUACAGUACAAUGUCUUACUCCGAUCACGUUCUUCUAGCUUGUAUCUUCUCUACUUACUCCGUGUUAAUUACAGGGUACCUACCUGUCUCCAGGACGAUCUCGUCGACCUUCCGUUUUUAAGACUACAACAACACUACAUACCAGACCCUUGAUACCCGUAUAACGACCGUUAAAGUUGGACCGAUAGUUACAUCCUUGAGACUUACACGAGAAUUGUGUAGUAGAAGAACGUCUUUUUGAAUCAGUAUGAUUGAAAGUGUCCUACCCUGGUUCUUCUUACUUUUAUUCUCUCUAUGAAACCUCCAGUUGCAAGACAUAAAGGAAAAAAUGGAUUAGUAUCGUAGGUAAGUCAAACCUUGUUUAACAACAUACAUCAAAAGCGUACCAUGGGAGAUGGAAAACCUAUGCAUCGAGCUAUACAAAGUAAAAAUACGUAGACACGAGGACGUAGUGUAUAACAUGGACAGUCUAAUAAAGUAACGAUGAACUUUUAUAAAGGUACAUCGUAUCUUAGACCUCAAACUACUGGAGCCGAUCUAGACCUAUACUUAUACAUGAGGUUUGAAUUUUACAACUCACAAGAAAAUCAGGUUCUAUUGUGUGAAGUAAGUCAGACCUUACAAGUCGUGAACCGUCCAGCAGAAAAUAAACCUGAUCUAUAUAAUGUUAUAAAUGAGGUAAAUGAUGGAUGUUAAAAGUCAAAAUUUUUUUGAGGUAAUGGGGGGAUACGUCAGGUAACGUAGAAUAUUGCUGAAAACGGAACUACGGAUGAAUGCACGAUAAUCUCCAAUGAAUUCCGGUUUGCACAUAUAGACAUACUUCUAAAAAAAAACUAUUAUAUACUAAUUAAAAUAGAAACAUACGUAACGAGACAUACACUUCACAGCGAUAACAAAAGUAAUGACCGUAUUAUGUUGGCUUUCCACACCGAAAAUACGAGUUCAUGUCUUGAUUAUUCGACCAGUACCCGGAGUAUCCUGCCAUAGGUGUCUUCGACACGUGGGUCAUCUUGGCACCUGUACGACGAUUCCGUUUACUUUACUCGUAUCUAAUACAAGGUAAUCCCUCGUAACGUGUGGACGUACACGUGUCACCAUAUAUACGGUGAUCAACCGUACGGUAACUCUUUAAUG
rnacentral:rRNA from 1 species